UACGUAGGAGGCAAGCGUUGUCCGGAGUUACUGGGCGUAAAGCGUGUGUAGGCGGUACGGUGCGUCUGAUGUGAAAUCUCCUGGCUUACCUGGGAGGGGGCAUGGGAAACGACCGAACUUGAGGGCGUGAGAGGCGAGUAGAACUCCCGGUGGAGCAGUGAAAUGCGUAGAGAUCGGGAAGAAUACCAGUGGUGAAGACGGCUCGCUGGCGCGUACCUGACGCUGAGACACGAAAGCGUGGGGAGCAAACAGG
rnacentral:rRNA from 1 species